UAUUCAUAAAGUUUUAAGAGUUCAGAAAUCAAUAUUUGGUGGAAUAACCCUGGUUUUUAAUUACAGUUUUCAUGCAUCUUGGCGUCACAUUCUCCUCCUCCACCAGUCUUACACACUGCUUUUGGAUAACUUCAUGCCUUUACUCCUGGUGCAAAAAUUCAAGCAGUUCAGUUUGGUUUGAUGGCUUGUGAUCAUCCAUCUUCCUCUUGAUUAUAUUCCAGAGGUUUUCAAUUUGGAAAAAUCAAAGAAACUUAAAAUUUGUACAUUUUUUAGCCUAAUGUGUCCAACUUGUCCAAGCUUUUUAGGUCACUGUCAUGUUAUGUUAUGUCAUGGACCCAACUCUGCCCAACCUUCCAAGCUGAUGGUUUAAACUCAUGCUGUAAAAUCCUAUAGGUAGUCCUCCUACUUUGUUAGUCUAGGCACUAUGUGCACCAUCAUCAUCAGCCCCAAAGAAUAAUGCUACCUCCACCAUGCUUAAUAGUUGGCACAGUGUUCUUGGAGAUGAAUGCCUCGCCUUUAUUCCACCAAAUGUACCUCAGUUGGGUAAUUGUGGCCUGACUUUUAGAUUGUGUUACAUGUAAUAUUUAGCACCAGUGAAUUAAUACAUUUAAACUAGGUGGUUGCAUAUCCAAAUAUACAAUAUGAUUUCAGAAAACCGCUAAUUUAAAAUUUGCCAACCAAAUUCUUGUGCUUUUACCUUAUUUUGAUGUUUAUUUUAAACAAAAAAACAACAUUACCAUGACAUUUAUCUGUACCACUUUAAUAUAAGACUACCUUUAUAAAGGGUUUAUAAAUGGUUUACAAUUAGUUUAUUAAUGGUUACUAAUUAGGUUGUAAAUGCCUUAAAAACAUUAAUAAUCAGUUAUAACACAUACAUAGAAAAUGACCUGUUGUUUGCCAAAUAGUGAACCCACAGCCAUCUAUCUAUAUUGUUGCUCUAUCUACAUAUGUGUUAUAACUGAUUAUUAAUUUACAACCUAAUUUACAACCUAAUUAGUAACUAGUAAUAAACUAAGUGUAAACCAUUUAUAAACCCUUUAUAAAGGUAGUCUUAUUUUAAAGUGGUACCCAUUUAUCUACAUGAUCCCAAUUAUCAUGCCCAAAAAACAUAUAUGUAUGUCUGCAGGGGUCACUGACGGGAUCAGCAGGGGGUUAAACAUGGACCCCCUAUUUAGAACAAUAUAUAAACUUCUUACCACAACUACGGGUCCAUCUCAGAGGCUCUUUGGGUUUAUUUUUAAGGGUUUUGGGGACUGAAUGGGAGAUUCUGUAGAUUUCAUGAAAGGAUAAAUACAAUUCUUACGUUAUAUUUUUUUGGGCACUGCUUUUAUGGAAUGUCAUAAAUUAAGCAUGAACAUGCGACAUACACAUGAAAAAAAGCUGAAACAUGUUAAAGAACAAAGCUGUUUAGUUUUUUACACAAAGUGUCUAAAAAAAAAAAAAGAAGUGAACAAUGGAUUUGUGAGAUGACAUUUUCCCCAAAGGUGUUGUUUUAUUUUUCACUUUUAUACAUAAAAAAACUAGAUUAGAUUUCUUUCUCCUGUGAUAUUUUACUUGGUAAAACCCCCAUCAUGCUGCAUGUUAGAUUAUACGAGUCUAGGUUUAGGUCAUAAAAAGUGUGUCACGAUGUCUCGUUUCUAUUUAUUCACUUUUUAACUCUUUCUUGAUAAAAUGUAUGUGUUUACAGUUCUGUCCUGUUUCAUAUUCUUGUUUUAAAAUUCAUUUUAUUAGGCCUUUUUGUUUCCUGUGCUUGCCUUACUGGGGGAAAAACAUCUUGAUUGUCAAACAUUUAAUGUAAGUUAGAAACAUAUUUGCCCUUGUAUUAUAAGAUCCAAAAGUCUAUGUAAUUUACUGGGAAGUAAAUAAAAAGUGUAAUAUGAAUCUCCAAGUGAUUUGACAGCAAUAAACGUUUUUUGUGAUCAUAA